rnacentral:rRNA from 1 species
UACGAAGGGGGCUAGCGUUACUCGGAAUGACUGGGCGUAAAGGGCGCGUAGGCGGUUUGCUUAGUUAGGCGUGAAAUUCCUGGGCUCAACCUGGGGGCUGCGCUUAAUACAGGCAGACUAGAGUGUGAAAGAGGGUCGUGGAAUUUCCAGUGUAGAGGUGAAAUUCGUAGAUAUUCGCAAGAACACCAGUGGCGAAGGCGGCUCACUGGCCCGUAACUGACGCUGAGGCACGAAAGCGUGGGGAGCAAACAGG